GACGAACGCUGGCGGCGUGCUUAACACAUGCAAGUCGAACGGAAAGGCCCUGCUUUUGUGGGGUGCUCGAGUGGCGAACGGGUGAGUAACACGUGAGUAACCUGCCCUUGACUUUGGGAUAACUUCUGGAAACUGGGGCUAAUACCGGAUAGGAGCUCCUGCUGCAUGGUGGGGGUUGGAAAGUUUCGGCGGUUGGGGAUGGACUCGCGGCUUAUCAGCUUGUUGGUGGGGUAGUGGCUUACCAAGGCUUUGACGGGUAGCCGGCCUGGGAGGGUGACCGGACAAAGCGGGAUGGAGAUGAGCCACGGCCCCGACGGGGAGGGGAGGGGGGAGUGGUGGACAUAGGGGGAGGGGCCCGAGGCCGAACCCGCGGUGUGGGGUGGGGGGUGCGGGGGUUAGGAAUGUAAUGCCCUUUGACACGGGGUGAGAGUGAGAGUAAUGGGAAAAGAAGCUCCGGCUAACUCCGGG
rnacentral:rRNA from 1 species